UCAAUUUAUCGCCUUGGUCUCGUAUUUCUCAAGGCCGUAAUUCAUGGACCUUCUGGAGGCAGAGUAGCAGACCUAGCUAAAACCUAAAAUCUUAAAGCUCUUCCUAAAUCAGAAGUAUUCUAUCAUUCAGGCAUUGGCUAUUGAAUGUUCAUAAAAGCACUCUCAAAAAUCUUCAAGGGGCAAACAUAUGCAAUUGCUUUCUUUUUUUUGCAGUACUUUUAACUCGAUCAAUUGUUAAUGUUUUGCUUCAGUUCCUUUAUGACGUUGGUGUUGUGUCAACAAAGGAACCCUUUAACUGUGUCAUCAACCAAGGAAUUAUCCUUGGGUGGUUAGUAUAAAUUGCUCGAUCAUGUAGACAUGAUGUCCUUUGGAAACUGCAUAUUUUUAAUGGCCGAGAUGGCGGGUUCAAUAAAUGGCCACGAAAGAAUAGCCGAGGAGAAGGUCAAGAAUUCUGGUGAUUCUUAUGUGCUAGAAAAACCAUCCCAAUAUUGCUCACAAGAUGAGUAAAAGUCCCGGAAAUGUCAUAAAUCCUGACGAUGUUGUUUUGGAGUAUGGUGCAGAUUCUCUUUGUUUAUAUGAAAUGUUUAUGGGCCAAUUUCGAGACUCCAAAAUCUGGAGUGCUAGUGUUAUUGAAGUGUUCAUCGUUUUUUGGCAAGAGUGUGGAGAUUGAUUGUCGGUUCACCUAUUAAAGAUGGAACAAUUAACCUUGAUGAAAAACCUUCUAUGGAACAACUUCGGUGUCUUCAUGGUCUCAUAGAUGCAUCGACAAGGUGACAGAAGAAAUUGAAGGAAUACAGUUCAACACUGGAAUUUCUGCGAUGAUGGAGUUCAUCAAUGCUGCAUAUAAGGUCUCUCACUCUCUCUCAGACGCGCCCCGCCACAUGUACGCACUUGAAUUAGUUUUCUGUACUUAUCAUGAUGAUACAGCAUGCCCACAUCCAUAGAAAGUGUAUGACAGGCAUCCAUGAAUAAGUGGAAGAAAAGGGUCCAGAAACCCAUUGUAGCGGUGAGUAAAAGGGUAGGAAAGAAUAGGAGGGCUUAUGUUAUGCUCUGAAGACACUUCUACCAUAUUUCCCAAUGUUAUCAUAUUGGAGGAAGAAAUUGGUUAAAAGACCUUUUAGUGUUUGUCUUCAUAAAAGUAAAACUGUGACUGUUGAGCUUGGCUAGUUCUUUUAUGAUUUGACAGUGUAUUUUCCUGUUUUUAGUGGGAAGAGCUUCCAAAGUCAAUUGUCGAAACAUUUUUCUUACUGCUCUCACCCUAUGCAUCUCAUGUGGCGGAAGAGCUCUGGUCCCAUUUAGGACACUCAAUGUCACUGGCAUAUGAGCCUUUCCCCGAGGCAUGAAUGUGCAUUUCCUACUAAUUUAGCCCGCCUACUCCCUUGGCAGGUGUCCUCUGGCUAGGCUAGCGCGAUGUAUUUCUAUGGUGGUCUCUGUUGUAUGGACUAACUUCUGUUGUUUCCAAUCCAGUGCAGACUGCAUGAAUUGUUUGGUACAUUUACCUAAAAGUCAGUGGGGAACAUUAAAAAGAAGCUGUUGAUAAAAUAAUCAUAUGUUAAUAGAUUCUAAAGUUAUUAAAAUCAGAUGGUGCUUUCUACUUUUGACUACUUAUGAUCACUGUAUUCAGAAAAAAGGCUGGAUAGUUUCUCUGACGAAAAAUGAAGAAUCUCUCCGAGUUGUGACAAUACAUUUUUAAGAAUUAGUCAUUGUGGGUCUCUGACAUCUACUUAUUACAGGCUAAUCCUGCUUACUUAAAGGAGUCCACUGUAGUUUUACUAGUUCAGAUAAACGGUAAGACAAGAGGUACCAUACAGGUCGAAGAAGCAUGCACCGAGGAAGAUGCUUUUAGACUAGCUUCACUUGAUUCUAAACUGUCCAAGUUUAUGUCUGGUAAAAGCAUCAAAAAGCGCAUAUUCGUGCUGGGUAAAAUUCUGAACGUUCUCUUGGAUGCGCAGAACAUCAAGGUGGGUCUGCAAUAGUCCCUCAGCCAGCAUUUGACAGCUGGUGCAGAUAUGCCUUUCUUGAUGUUGAAUUAAGAACAGCAGGAACAAGUUUAUAUGCAUACGAUUCCUUGAGGUUAAAUAAAGAACAUCAAGAAUGCAAUAUACUAGUCAAUUGACACCUUGUAAUUUAUCCGUGCCUACUGAGAAGGAAAAGGUUUUUUGAAGGAUUUGUUGUGUGGUGAGAGACAGACGAUGUGUUCAUAAUGAGGCAGUUCUCAAUAUUGAGAUGGGUUUUGUUGUUGAUUGUUUAUACAUACAAAACUAAUUCACUUAGAUCAAUCUUGUAAUAGCCUAUUAUUUAUAUAUGGAAUGUACGCAAACCUAUCAAUACAAAUUGUUUCGUACUAUCCAAUGGUAACUUGUGA